UCCCUUAGGCCACGUGAAGGGAGAGCCUCACUUUUGUUCACAGUGCUGAGGUGUGCAGGACAGAGCAGUCCCGGGGCGUGUCGUAUCACUUGUCCGUCGUGCCUUCUGUGUCUUUUGUGCCUCUCGUGUUGUACGUGCCUCGCCUUAUCUCUUCUGGGGGCUUACCAGAAACCCCGGCGUCACUCCUCGCAUCUCUGAUCUCUGGGCUCCUCAGCCCGACACCAUCGAAGCUUUGCCUCUGGAGCCCUCAGAGGCCUUGGAAUUGCGUCUCUCUUUUAAAAGCAUCCGAUCGGAUGUCUUUUAGAGGUCUUGUUCUGAGCUGUGUCAACAGCCGUGCGCCGCGAGGAUCCAUUGUUGCGGCUUAGGUCUUGAAGAAACGCAGAGAUAGGUAGGGGGCUGUGGCCCUCAGAUUCUCGGGUAUCCGUCUUGGCAGUUGCUGGAGUUUGUCAUUCCAUCAGCAUCUUCUUCCUCCCGGGUUCUGCGAGCUUCAUCAGCUCGCCUUCAUUCUCACACGGCUCAUCUCGUUCCGCGUUCUCUCGGUCCUUGCGGCCAUUCUUGUGGCCCAGAGUUUUGUCUCCCCAUUGUGUCCCCUCGUCUGUUGUCUUGUGUGUCACGGGUGUCUGGGUGUAGUUGUCCCGGAGCUGCUCUGUCCUGCUGCCCAGCCUGGGUGUAGGUGUAAAAGGCCGAGUCCCAGGCCCCUGUAAUUUGAAAUUUGUCAUGUAGGGUGUAGUUGGAGUCUAGAGGGUAUUCCUAGAUUGACACAAGAUGUCUGGAGCUGUGAAGUUACUCUGCAGCACUUUGACUUUUGUCUUAGCUUUCUUUCAGAUGCGGACGGAUGAAAUCGGUGGCAGAGUGCCCCAUCCAGGGUAAGGGGGUUCCCGCGAGAAGGAAGUAGAGCCAGCUGGCAGCAGUCAAGGUGAAGUGGGCAAGGCGGUCCAGUCGCGUUUCGCUGAGACGUCCUUGCCAACCGGCCGGCACAGCUGCUUCACCGCUCCCGUGAGCCCUGCGGAAGCGUUAUGGAACCGUGUGACGGAGCCUUUUCCACGUAAAGGGGCCGUGUGGGUGGCCUUCAGGAACGGGCCGAGGGGUUGCCGCGCGCCCUGUGACGACGGCGUCCGGCUCCCGGCGUGGCCGAAGCGUGUGGCCUCAGGACGUGGCCGUUCACAGGAGACCCUGACCGAGAGACGGCAGCCUGGCGAUGGCAGGAACUUCCCAGAUGGCGAGGCGGCCUUCCUUGGCACUCCAUGUGGAUCCUCCCCGCUGGGCA